UGCGUGAUAUUUUGAGGUUAUGUUAAAAAUUUACGUUUUGAUUCGUUGUUUUGUGGUGAAUUGGUGCGGCCUUCGUCGGUGUUUUUGAGGUGUGUUAUCUCUUACAAACAUUCAAGAUGAGCAGCUCCAGUUCAAAAGCACCUAAGAGAUCGAAAAAUUUCACCGGGCACGAGAAAAGCGAAUUAACCCAAAUAAUUCAAAGGUCGCCAUGAUAUUUUCAUCAUCAUCCAGGCGCUCGACCCAGUGCUGCCGCGUCGACAAAUAUAUCUUCCUUUUGGACUAUAUCAACAUAAUAUAACAUUUCAAGAUAACUGUGGUUGAAAAAUUAAAAAGGACACCGAGUAUUAUUAUUUGAAGUAAUAUAGUACUGCAAAAGUAGUAUUAUUAUCAGCUGUGAAUACUCCUUACGCGACGCACUGGUGAUGGACCACAUCAAAGAGUCCCCACUGCUCGCCGUAAAACACACCUUACUUCAACUGGGGGACUGCACCAGUAAGAUAUAAUUCCGCGCACUCACCAUUAUCAAAUGCAGAUCAUCAUAUUGGUUACUAUCGACAAUGUUGGAAAUCGCCAGUUUAAAACUCAAUAGCACCUUUCAAUUGUGUUUCUGAUAACUUUGUGAUGUUUCCUCAGCUCGAUUUCUAGAGUUAACGAAAGAUGUGAGAAGGUAUCUCUUGCAGGUGUAACCACUAUCUCCAAGAAGAUAUCCUGUUUUAAUUCAUCAUGGACAGAUCCUGGCCAACGGACUAGCAUGUGGCGAAAUAUUUGUCACAUCUUGAGAUUAUGUUAAAUAUUUGUGAUCGUUAAUGGUGGAAGUUAAAGUUUGUUGUUGUUCUUGGGCUACUGUUCCUCUGAAAAUUGUUCACGAUGGAUAGUACCAAAGUUAUGGAAAGGUCGAAAAAUUUCACAGCCCAUCAAAAAACUCAGUACAAAUAAUUCUGAGAUAUGCCCAUAUAUUAGAAAACAGAUGCAGUUUCUGUACAAGAAGAGAAUGUUGCUGAGAGAUCAUGUAAUACGAAUUCAAUGUUACCAUCAUUGAGGGGCCUAGGGAUGUUCAGACUAUCAAAAUUCGACACAAAACUUAAAAAAGGAAAGGGCUGAAAAAAUUAAGUUACAAGCUGGAUCUACAAUAUUUUUAUACAAUGUGGUUAUUAAUUUUUAGAAGGAAGCGUUUAUUUCUAUUAAAACAGACAACAGGGAUGAAGGUAUGAGUGCAGACGUGGGUGAUGGUGAGCUGGAAAUGACAAAUAAAUAUAAUAGAUGAAGAUUUGAUUUUUUACAAAAAAAAGGUCAAAAAAAACAGAUACAGCACAAUACUUCGGUUUGUAUACUAGGACAAAUCGUCAUGCAUACAUGAUCUUAUAAAUCUGACCUCUCAUAACGAGAUAUAUUUUCAAUAACUUUACUUGUUUUUAACGCAUUUUUUUUUUCCAGGAAAUCCUGAACCUCAUAGCCCUGCCUCCUCCAUUCCGAACGAGAAAAAUAAAAUCCCCCUUUCCAAGAAAAACAGUGUAAUAAAAAAUAAAAAAUAUGCAAAUGAAAAUAAUUUUUAGUGAAUUUGCAAAAUAAACACAAACAAAAACUUUCAAAAAGGCUUACAAUUAAAAUAUUUGCAGAUUAAAAAAGUAGAAAUCGAAUUGGAAAAUUCAAAUUCAAUAAUUGGAAAUCGAAGAGUUUUUUUUUAGUUUUAUAAUAAUCAUUAAUAUCUGGUUGACCGAGCUUCACUCGGCUCGUUUGGUAGUAUUAGAUCAGAUUAGGACAGAUAAAUAUGCGUAUAGUAUGCAUUUUGAAGUACACGCGUUAGUUAAAAAUACACAUUAAAAAAGAAAUUCCAUAAGCAGUCUUUGUUUUAAAUAGUGAUGAGUGACAUGUAGAGAUUAAAGAAUGGAAAACUGGAAUUAUUGCUUGACAUUUUUAUUAAAAUCUCAUUUGUUACCCAAGUUCUCUCUCUGUCGUUCUCUUUUUUUCCUAGUUCUCUCUCUCGACUCUAGAAAAAGGUCACAACCACUUUCUUACUGCCAGAAUGGUUUCGCCUCUGGUGUGAUUAACAUACUGAGUUACCGUGCUCUUUUGCGUUAUUCCUAAUUUCUCAAUCUCAACCCUGCUCCCGAAGAUGCCACUUACGAAAGUGUGCGAAAAGUUGAGCCCAAAAACUGAAAUAAUACGGUCCCAUCCCGGAAAACGAUCACAUAUUGACCCUGACCGUCGAACCUCUGAAAUGAAUGCUUGACAACAUAACCUUAACUCAACGCACUUUCGUGUGCCUUUUAUCCGCUCACUGUUUAGUUUUCCGUAAAUUUUGUCACCUCAGAGGGUGAAUUUUAACGUCCUCUAUACAGUGGAGUAUGUUUCGGUACGUACAAUUGAAGAUAAAAAGGUACGCCAAACGUACUGUCAGACUGUCACCCAAACUUCUCUUAUAAAACAAUCUCGUGUUCGUGUAGUGUCAUCCGAUGUUACCUAGCAACGAAUAUAAUUCACUGCCUGAAAAUUGCUGAAAAUGUAUGAAGCUGUAAUUUUCAGAAGUUAAAACUAUGAUGAAUCGAUUUCUUGACCCAAAAAACCCCCAACCUGUAAAUUUCAUCGAAAUCGUUAGAGCCGUUUUCGAGAAACCCAUUAUAUAUAUAGAUAUAUAUUUAUAUAUAUAUAUACAAACUUUGCUCGUUUAAUAGUAUAAGAUUAAACAUUUUUGUUAAACUCUUUCUGCAAAUAUAGUAUUUACAAGGUGAGUUCUCAUAGCAAAAUUUCCUUCCAUGGGGUCACCACCUAUGACUUCAUCGUCUUCCUCAAUUUCAAGGUGAUCUUCUGGCCAGUCAUCUUUAAAAAUAAUUGCCAGGUUAUGCAAAAUUGCACAGGCGACGAUUGCCAUCAUAUUAGUUUUCAUUUUUAGUCGCAAUCCCAUAGACAAAGCUGGAAAGCGACGUUUCAAAACUCCAAAACACCUUUCAACUGUGUUUCUGGUCGCUUUGUGGGAAGCAUUAUAUGCUUCCUCAGCCCUGUUUCUUGGAUUAAUGAAGGGCGUCAAAAGAUAUCUUUUGCAUGCGUAGCCACUGUCUCCAAGAAGAUAUCCAGCGCCAUACAUGCCUCGUUCUAAUUCAGGAGGUAAAGGACAGUCAUUAAAAAUGGUGGAAUCGUGGACAGAUCCUGGCCAGCGAGCUAUGAUAUGUCGUAUUUGAAGAUCCGCGUCACAAACUACUUGGACAUUGAGCGAAAAAAAACCUUUUCGGCAUCUAUAAGUUUCAGCCAAGUGUCCACCUGGCGAUUGGAUUGGUAUAUGCGUACCGUCUAUUGCCCCUAUGACACACGGAAAACCCCGGAUUUCGAAGAAUUUUCUAUGUAUUGUUGGUAUUUCUUGCAAGGUAGGCAUUUUCAACACGUCGCCCUUCAAUCGCAGUAUUUCCUUGGAGACCUUGUAGAUUAUUCUUGAAAUUGUUGAUUUAUGUACCAAAACAGAGUCCCCAAUUAAUUGUUGAAACGCUCCUGUUGCAUAGAAUCUGAGACAAAUCAGGAGUUGUUCUCUACUGUUUAGAGCCUUGUUACGGUUUGUCAAGGGAUCUAACCGGUCUCCAAUCUGAUUUAAAAUUUCCACCACGCUAUUUUUUGAAAACCGAUACCUUUGCUUAAAGUCGAUAUCGUCGUACCUAUCGAAAGGAUCGGACCUGUCUCGAAAAAUUCGAGGUCUUCUAGGAACAGGAACAUCGGAAUCGUCAGAGGAACUGGAGGACGUUAACGUUAAGGACACGGACAUUUUGAGGUAAACUACAAUUUACAGCUGUUACAACAAAAAGUAUAUUUCACAUGUAUUUAAAAUUACCUGAAUAAAAUUUAAUUGAA